UGGCGAACGGGUGAGUAACACGUGGGCAAUCUGCCCUGCACUCUGGGACAAGCCCUGGAAACGGGGUCUAAUACCGGAUACUGAUCAUCUUGGGCAUCCAAGGUGUUCGAAAGCUCCGGCGGUGCAGGAUGAGCCCGCGGCCUAUCAGCUUGUUGGUGAGGUAGUGGCUCACCAAGGCGACGACGGGUAGCCGGCCUGAGAGGGCGACCGGCCACACUGGGACUGAGACACGGCCCAGACUCCUACGGGAGGCAGCAGUGGGGAAUAUUGCACAAUGGGCGAAAGCCUGAUGCAGCGACGCCGCGUGAGGGAUGACGGCCUUCGGGUUGUAAACCUCUUUCAGCAGGGAAGAAGCGAAAGUGACGGUACCUGCAGAAGAAGCGCCGGCUAACUACGUGCCAGCAGCCGCGGUAAUACGUAGGGCGCGAGCGUUGUCCGGAAUUAUUGGGCGUAAAGAGCUCGUAGGCGGCUUGUCACGUCGGUUGUGAAAGCCCGGGGCUUAACCCCGGGUCUGCAGUCGAUACGGGCAGGCUAGAGUUCGGUAGGGGAGAUCGGAAUUCCUGGUGUAGCGGUGAAAUGCGCAGAUAUCAGGAGGAACACCGGUGGCGAAGGCGGAUCUCUGGGCCGAUACUGACGCUGAGGAGCGAAAGCGUGGGGAGCGAACAGGAUUAGAUACCCUGGUAGUCCACGCCGUAAACGGUGGGCACUAGGUGUGGGCAACAUUCCACGUUGUCCGUGCC
rnacentral:rRNA from 1 species